rnacentral:lncRNA from 10 species
AGGUACUUGGGAGGCUGAGGCAGGAGAAUCACUUGAAUCUGGGAGGCAGAGGUUGUGGUGAGCCGAGAUUGAGCCAUUGCACUCCAGCCUGGGCAACAAGAGCGAAACUCCAUCUCAAAAAAAAAAAAGUUAAAACUAUGAGAUCCCAUUACACAUCCACUAGAAUGAUCAAAAGUAAAAAGACUGACAGCACCUAAGUAUGAAUGAAGAUGUAGAGCAACCAGAACUCAUUUGCUAGUGGUGUUGUAACAUGGUACAGCUAUUUUGGAAAACAGGCAGCUUCUUACAAAUAAGCAUAUCCUUACCAUAUGACCCAGCAAUCCUCCUACGUACCCAAGGGAAAUGAAGACUUAUGUCCAAUCAAACACUUGUAUUUGAACAUUCAUAGCAGCUGUAUUCAUAAGAGCGGAAAUAUCCAUCAAUUAGAAAGCAGAUAAACAGGCCAGGUGUGGUGGCUCACCCCUCUAAUCCCAGCACUUUGGGAGGCCGAGGCAGGCAGAUCACUUGAGGUCAGCAGUUCGAAACCAGCCUGGCCAACAUGGUGAAACCCUGUCUCUACUAAAAAUACAAAAAUUAGCUAGGCAUGGUGGCAGGUGCCUAUAAUCCCAGCUACUUGGGAGGCUGAGGCAGAAGAAUCACUUGAACCGGGGAGGGGGAGGUUGCAGCAGUGAGCCGAGAUUGCACCAUUGCACUCCAGCCUGGGUGACAGAGUGAGACCCUGUCUCAGAAAAAAAAAAAAAAAAAGGUUAAAUUGUGAUACAUCUCUAUAAAGGAAGGGAUUACUGACACAAGCAGCAACAUGAAUACCUUUAAAACAUGCUGAGCUAAUAAAUCAAAAGCUGAGCUAAAGGAAUGAGACACAAAAGAGUACACAUACUGUACAAUCAAUUCUCUAUGUGAAAUCCUAGAACAGGCAAAACUGGUUUCUAGGGACAGAAAGCAGGUUUGCCUGGGGCCGGACCUCAGGGAGGACCAAGGAUUAAUGGCAGAGAGGGAACUUUCUAGCGUGUUGGAAAUCUUCCAUAUUUUGAUUGGCAGUAGUUACAUGGGUGCCUACAUUUGUCAAAAGGCAGUCUUAAAAUAGAUACACUUUCUUCAUUAUGCCUCAGUAAAUCUGAUUGAAAAUAUAUACACUUUUUUUUUUUUCCUGUUGGCAGUAUGGACUCUUUUAGGCAGGGUAGCUCAAAAUGUGGCUUCUGGACCACCAACCAGCAUCAGAAUUACCAGGAAAAUUGGGAAAGACCUUGUUUGGGGACCCCCAUCCCAUGCCUGACCUACUGAAAAACCAAAUAUCCAGAGCUGCUCUUCUGUGGCCUGCGAUCCGCUAGGCCAGCCUGAGUCAGAGCCCGGCCUCAAAAGCUCCACUACAUAAGCUGGGGCUGGUGGUAAUGUUGAGUGUCAGUUUCAAACAAUAGCAGCUGGCAGUGCCUGGUGGGAAGAGACUAGAAGAAGUAGAGGAAUUCCAUGCAGACCAACCUACUGUGUAGCUCUUCUCUUCAAACUUCUGCUUGUAGAAAGCAAAGGUAUGCUCUAAAGUAGAGGUUGAAACUCAUGAGAAUUUACCUUGGUGAAAGAAAGGGUUAGAAGCUAUUUUUAAAAAGCAGUUGCAGGAAGCAUUUCUGAAGUCAGAACUUCUCAACCCAGGCUGUACACCAGACUCUUGUGGACCUUUUAAAACAUCUAAUUUCUAUUUUUAUCAAAGGAGACAUGAAUAUGGUGUUUUUUAAAAAGGUGGAGAUGGUUUUAAGUUUGUAAAUGUAUGUUUUAAAAAAAAAAAAGUCAGUCCUGACCAGGCACGGUGCCUCACGCUUGUAAUUCCAGCACUUUGAGAGGCUAAGGCAGGAGGAUUGCUUGAGCCCAGGAGUUCAAGCCCAACACAGGCAACAAAGGGAGAUCCUGUCUCUACAAAAUAUUUAAAAUCUAGCCAGGCACAGUGGCCUGUGCCCGUACUCCCAGCUGCUUGGGAGGCUGAGGCGGGAGGAUCACUGGCGCCCAGGAUGAGACUGCAGUGAGCUGUGAUCACACCACUGCACUCCAGCCCAGUCAACAGAGAGGGACUCUGUCUUUGAAAAAAGAAAAAGAAAAAAAAAAGUCUGCCUACAGCCUAGUCUCGCUGUAAACUGAUUCCUCUUUGGAGGGAGACAUUUACAGAGUUUAAAUUAUAUGCAGGCGAAAUACACAAUCUUGAGAGUACAGCUUGAUGGGUUUUUAUAUAUGUAUGGUCAUUCCUCGGUAUCUAUGGGGGAUUGAUUGCAGGACCCCCCCCCCCCAAUAUUUUUUUUUGAGACGGAAUCUAACUGUUCCUCAGGUCUGAGUGCAGUGGUGUGAUCUCGGUUCAGUGCAGCCUCCGCCUCUGCUUCCUGGGUUCAAGCGCCACAUCUGAGGGUGCACAAGUCUCUCAUACAAAAUGGUGUGGCAUUUGCACAUAACCUAUGCAUAUCAUCUCUGUAUACUUUAAGUCACCUCUACAUUGCUUAUAACACCUGAUACAAUGUAAAUGCUACGUAAACAGUUGUUACAUUGUUUGUAUAUCAUUUGUAUUUUUUUAAAUGAUUUUCUCCCAAAUAUUUUAAACCCAAGGUUGGUUGAAUUCACCGACGCAGAAUCCAUGGAUAGGGAGGGCCAACACCCAACUCCCACCCAGAUCAAGAUACGGACCAUUUCCAGCACCCUAGAAAGUUCCCUGAUGGUCCUUCCAAGCUAAUAGUCCCCGCUUCUCAAGAUAAUCACUAUUCUGACUUCGGACACCACUGGUUAGAACCACUUUAGGUGCUUUCUGUGGUUCCUCCUUGUAUUUGUUUUCAUAGUUCUAAAUAAUGUUUAUACUGCUGUUUCUUGGCUUGCCAACUUGGGACAAUGGUAGCUUUCUCGAAUAGCAGACCAGACUUUCACUCAGUCUCCAUCCUCACCAAGUAAAACAAAAAUGUUCCAGAUUUCCAGGCCCCGGGAUCACUCCUACCACUACCUUGGCUUACUCAGAUUGAAUCCUGCACCUGGGAGGAGUCUGAGUACCUGUGGUGUGUGGUUUUUUUUUUGUUUGUUUGUUUGUUUGUUUUUUUGGAGAUGUAAUUUCUUGUUGCACAGGCUGGAGUACAAUGGCACAAUCUUGGCUCACCACAACCUCCACUUCCCGAGUUCAAGCGAUUCUCCUGCCUCAGUCUCCCG